UAAGCGACUAAGCGUACACGGUGGAUGCCAUGGCAGUCAGAGGCGAUGAAGGACGUGCUAAUCUGCGAUAAGCGUCGGUAAGGUGAUAUGAACCGUUAUAACCGGCGAUUUCCGAAUGGGGAAACCCAGUGUGAUUCGUCACACUAUCAUUAACUGAAUCCAUAGGUUAAUGAGGCGAACCGGGGGAACUGAAACAUCUAAGUACCCCGAGGAAAAGAAAUCAACCGAGAUUCCCCCAGUAGCGGCGAGCGAACGGGGAGCAGCCCAGAGUCUGAAUCAGUGUGUGUGUUAGUGGAAGCGUCUGGAAAGGCGCGCGAUACAGGGUGACAGCCCCGUACACAAAAAUGCACAUGCUGUGAGCUCGAUGAGUAGGGCGGGACACGUGGUAUCCUGUCUGAAUAUGGGGGGACCAUCCUCCAAGGCUAAAUACUCCUGACUGACCGAUAGUGAACCAGUACCGUGAGGGAAAGGCGAAAAGAACCCCGGCGAGGGGAGUGAAAAAGAACCUGAAACCGUGUACGUACAAGCAGUGGGAGCCUCUUUUAUGGGGUGACUGCGUACCUUUUGUAUAAUGGGUCAGCGACUUAUAUUCUGUAGCAAGGUUAACCGAAUAGGGGAGCCGAAGGGAAACCGAGUCUUAACUGGGCGUUAAGUUGCAGGGUAUAGACCCGAAACCCGGUGAUCUAGCCAUGGGCAGGUUGAAGGUUGGGUAACACUAACUGGAGGACCGAACCGACUAAUGUUAGAAAAUUAGCGGAUGACUUGUGGCGUGGGGGUGAAAGGCCAAUCAAACCGGGAGAUAGCUGGUUCUCCCCGAAAGCUAUUUAGGUAGCGCCUCGUGAAUUCAUCUCCGGGGGUAGAGCACUGUUUCGGCAAGGGGGUCAUCCCGACUUACCAACCCGAUGCAAACUGCGAAUACCGGAGAAUGUUAUCACGGGAGACACACGGCGGGUGCUAACGUCCGUCGUGAAGAGGGAAACAACCCAGACCGCCAGCUAAGGUCCCAAAGUCAUGGUUAAGUGGGAAACGAUGUGGGAAGGCCCAGACAGCCAGGAUGUUGGCUUAGAAGCAGCCAUCAUUUAAAGAAAGCGUAAUAGCUCACUGGUCGAGUCGGCCUGCGCGGAAGAUGUAACGGGGCUAAACCAUGCACCGAAGCUGCGGCAGCGACGCUUAUGCGUUGUUGGGUAGGGGAGCGUUCUGUAAGCCUGUGAAGGUGUGCUGUGAGGCAUGCUGGAGGUAUCAGAAGUGCGAAUGCUGACAUAAGUAACGAUAAAGCGGGUGAAAAGCCCGCUCGCCGGAAGACCAAGGGUUCCUGUCCAACGUUAAUCGGGGCAGGGUGAGUCGACCCCUAAGGCGAGGCCGAAAGGCGUAGUCGAUGGGAAACAGGUUAAUAUUCCUGUACUUGGUGUUACUGCGAAGGGGGGACGGAGAAGGCUAUGUUGGCCGGGCGACGGUUGUCCCGGUUUAAGCGUGUAGGCUGGUUUUCCAGGCAAAUCCGGAAAAUCAAGGCUGAGGCGUGAUGACGAGGCACUACGGUGCUGAAGCAACAAAUGCCCUGCUUCCAGGAAAAGCCUCUAAGCAUCAGGUAACAUCAAAUCGUACCCCAAACCGACACAGGUGGUCAGGUAGAGAAUACCAAGGCGCUUGAGAGAACUCGGGUGAAGGAACUAGGCAAAAUGGUGCCGUAACUUCGGGAGAAGGCACGCUGAUAUGUAGGUGAAGCGACUUGCUCGUGGAGCUGAAAUCAGUCGAAGAUACCAGCUGGCUGCAACUGUUUAUUAAAAACACAGCACUGUGCAAACACGAAAGUGGACGUAUACGGUGUGACGCCUGCCCGGUGCCGGAAGGUUAAUUGAUGGGGUCAGCGCAAGCGAAGCUCUUGAUCGAAGCCCCGGUAAACGGCGGCCGUAACUAUAACGGUCCUAAGGUAGCGAAAUUCCUUGUCGGGUAAGUUCCGACCUGCACGAAUGGCGUAAUGAUGGCCAGGCUGUCUCCACCCGAGACUCAGUGAAAUUGAACUCGCUGUGAAGAUGCAGUGUACCCGCGGCAAGACGGAAAGACCCCGUGAACCUUUACUAUAGCUUGACACUGAACAUUGAGCCUUGAUGUGUAGGAUAGGUGGGAGGCUUUGAAGUGUGGACGCCAGUCUGCAUGGAGCCGACCUUGAAAUACCACCCUUUAAUGUUUGAUGUUCUAACGUUGACCCCUAAUCGGGGUUGCGGACAGUGUCUGGUGGGUAGUUUGACUGGGGCGGUCUCCUCCUAAAGAGUAACGGAGGAGCACGAAGGUUGGCUAAUCCUGGUCGGACAUCAGGAGGUUAGUGCAAUGGCAUAAGCCAGCUUGACUGCGAGCGUGACGGCGCGAGCAGGUGCGAAAGCAGGUCAUAGUGAUCCGGUGGUUCUGAAUGGAAGGGCCAUCGCUCAACGGAUAAAAGGUACUCCGGGGAUAACAGGCUGAUACCGCCCAAGAGUUCAUAUCGACGGCGGUGUUUGGCACCUCGAUGUCGGCUCAUCACAUCCUGGGGCUGAAGUAGGUCCCAAGGGUAUGGCUGUUCGCCAUUUAAAGUGGUACGCGAGCUGGGUUUAGAACGUCGUGAGACAGUUCGGUCCCUAUCUGCCGUGGGCGCUGGAGAACUGAGGGGGGCUGCUCCUAGUACGAGAGGACCGGAGUGGACGCAUCACUGGUGUUCGGGUUGUCAUGCCAAUGGCACUGCCCGGUAGCUAAAUGCGGAAGAGAUAAGUGCUGAAAGCAUCUAAGCACGAAACUUGCCCCGAGAUGAGUUCUCCCUGACUCCUUGAGAGUCCUGAAGGAACGUUGAAGACGACGACGUUGAUAGGCCGGGUGUGUAAGCGCAGCGAUGCGUUGAGCUAACCGGUACUAAUGAACCGUGAGGCUUAACCU
rnacentral:rRNA from 1 species